AGCUACGGACUCUGAGUUGGAAAUGGAGACACACACAGUGAAGAUCCUUAACACUUGCUGGGUGGUGUGAGCUGUACACGUUUGGUCAAGUUGGAUCCAGCUGUGGAAUCAUCUAGAAUUUCUGCUGGAGAAUCAUCUCAGCUGAUGUUCCUGAAGGCUCUAAAUAUAAAGGAAAAGGUUGUUUCUAAGAGUCAGCCUUGUUUGUGACGUAAGAGGGAGCUACCAUCCCUUUAUCAGUCAUCUGGCAUCUCAUCAAACCACUGGCUCUGCGGAUGCUUGUCUGGAGCCCACACACGGAUGUCCGCAUCAGUGCCGCGAUGUGCGUGCAUGGUGCAAAAAUGGGAUUUUAGCAAAGCGGCGUAUGAAUGUUUAUUUUAUGUCUUAUUUCAAGGCCUCUUUUAUUAAAUAUCUGUAGUCCAGAAAUAAAU